rnacentral:rRNA from 1 species
GACGAACCGAGCGAACGUUGUUCGGAAUCACUGGGCUUAAAGGGCGCGUAGGCGGAUUCUCAAGUCCGGGGUGAAAUCCCACAGCUCAACUGUGGAACUGCCUCGGAUACUGGGGGUCUCGAGGGUGGUAGGGGUAUGCGGAACUAUCGGUGGAGCGGUGAAAUGCGUUGAUAUCGAUAGGAACUCCGGUGGCGAAGGCGGCAUACUGGACCACAUCUGACGGCUGAGGCGCGAAAGCCAGGGGAGCAAACGGG